GCGCUGUUGGUUUAAUGGUAGAAUAUCUCGUUGCCAACGAGGUGACCCGAGUUCGAUUCUCGGACAGCGCA
rnacentral:tRNA from 2 species